rnacentral:lncRNA from 1 species
GGGGAAGCUAAUGGAGGAUCUAAAUUGAUAUCCAAAAGGGAAAGAGAGUAAUCGGUUUGUUAUUUGAAGAUGUGACUGUUAGAUGGUGUUGUAUGAAGGGAAAGGAUUCUCCACAAAAAAUAGCAUUCCUUGAAAGGAAUAUUUCUCUAGAAGAUAUGUCCAACAGUAUGUAGCCUUGGACUCCAUGUUUAUAUCCAAGGAAAACACUUGCUCGAGAGUCCAAUUUAUGCCUCCCUUGUUGAGUAGAUGGCAUCGUUUACUUCAUAGCACCAAGAGGCUUCUUUUUUUGGCAAAUGGCAUUGAAACAUUAGGGCUAUGUGUUUCUGUUUUCUCUCAGCUACUACAUUUGUUGAGGAGUUUCUACACAAGACCUAUAUUGGAUGAUGCCUUUCUCAUUAGAAUGUUGUCAUAAGCCCCAAAGUUUCAACAGUUAACAAAAAAAAAAAGUUUCAACUGUGAUUCAGUGUUACUUUGUUUGCUUUGGAUCAGCAACCCUGAUCAUGCCUAUUUCUCCCGUGCAACAAUUUUUAAUACAACAUUUUGAAUACAAUUACGGCAAGAACUGUAAAAAAGAACUCCAGAGGAGAAGUUGCUAAUUUUGGAGGUAUGAGGCUUUUAGCUUACAGAAAUUGAUUUUUAUAAUUUGAAUGAUUAAGCAACGAAACUAUAUUUAUAAAUAUUAUGUCAGUAUGCACUCCUGUUUUUCGUUUUCUUUAUCUGUGGACAUAGCAGACAAAUUUUUUUGACCUGAAGAAAGAGUGGCCUUCAGGGCAAUUCAAAAGCAUUAAUCCUUAACUGUUGAGACAGGUGAAUGAAUUCAUGGAGAAGACUGCGAAAAAUCUUUGAGCAACAGUUGGGGUGACUGAUUCAUUUGGCAGAGCAUAUGAUAAGUUGUGAUUGGCAUUUUGUACAUUAAUUACAACAUGUUUUGGUAGGUAAGUGACUUGCAAAUGGUGGAUUUGUUCAUAUUAGUAAAGCAAUGAAGAAUGAUAUUUCUGCAAUACAAGGAAGUAUUUGUGGUUGGGAUUUUAUUUUAAUAUUCUUUAAUUAUCUAAUGGGUUCUAAACAUGAUUUGAUAUUUGUAUUAUCCCUAACCAAGGAAAAUUGGCCCC